rnacentral:rRNA from 1 species
AUUGAACGCUGGCGGCAUGCCUAACACAUGCAAGUCGAACGAGUGGCGGACGGGUGAGUAAUGUCUGGGAAACUGCCUGAUGGAGGGGGAUAACUACUGGAAACGGUAGCUAAUACCGCAUACCAUCGGAUGUGCCCAGAUGGGAUUAGCUAGGAGGGGGGGUAAAGGCUCACCUAGGCGACGAUGCCUAGCUGGUGUGAGAGGAUGACAGGCGACACGGGAACGGAGACACGGCCCAGACGCCUACGGUAGGCAGCAGAGGGGAAUAGGGCGCAAUGGGCGCAAGCCUGACGCAGCCAUGCCGCGUGUAUGAAGAAGGCGUUCGGUGUGUAAAGUACUUUCUGCGGGGAGGCGUUACCCGCAGAAGAAGCACCGGCUAACUCCGUGCCAGCAGCCGCGGUAAUUC